UACAGAGGGUGCGAGCGUUGUCCGGAAUCACUGGGCGUAAAGGGCGCGUAGGUGGCGGCAUAAGGCCGUGGUGAAAGUCUGGGGCUCAACCCCAGAUCGGCCGCGGCGACUGUGUCGCUAGGGCACCGUAGAGGCAGAUGGAAUUCCGGGUGUAGCGGUGGAAUGCGUAGAGAUCCGGAAGAACACCGGUGGCGAAGGCGGUCUGCUGGGCAGUUGCUGACACUGAGGCGCGGACAGCGUGGGGAGCAAACAGG
rnacentral:rRNA from 1 species